AUGAGUUAAUACCUCAUUAUCUUGACGUUAGCUGCAGAAGAAGCACCGGCUAACUCCGUGCCAGCAGCCGCGGUAAUACGGAGGGUGCGAGCGUUAAUCGGAAUUACUGGGCGUAAAGCGCAUGCAGGCGGUUUGUUAAGCAAGAUGUGAAAGCCCCGGGCUCAACCUGGGAACCGCAUUUUGAACUGGCAGGCUAGAGUCUUGUAGAGGGGGGUAGAAUUUCAGGUGUAGCGGUGAAAUGCGUAGAGAUCUGAAGGAAUACCGGUGGCGAAGGCGGCCCCCUGGACAAAGACUGACGCUCAGAUGCGAAAGCGUGGGGAGCAAACAGGAUUAGAUACCCUGGUAGUCCACGCUGUAAACGAUGUCUACUUGGAGGUUGCGGUCUUGAACUGUGGCUUUCGGAGCUAACGCGUUAAGUAGACCGCCUGGGGAGUACGGUCGCAAGAUUAAAACUCAAAUGAAUUGACGGGGGCCCGCACAAGCGGUGGAGCAUGUGGUUUAAUUCGAUGCAACGCGAAGAACCUUACCUACUCUUGACAUCCAGAGAAUUCGCUAGAGAUAGCUUAGUGCCUUCGGGAGCUCUGAGACAGGUGCUGCAUGGCUGUCGUCAGCUCGUGUUGUGAAAUGUUGGGUUAAGUCCCGCAACGAGCGCAACCCUUAUCCUUGUUUGCCAGCGAGUAAUGUCGGGAACUCCAGGGAGACUGCCGGUGAUAAACCGGAGGAAGGUGGGGACGACG
rnacentral:rRNA from 2 species